UACGAGGGGGGCUAGUGUUGUUCGGAAUCACUGGGCGUAAAGGGAGCGUAGGCGGGAGCCUAAGUUGGGUGUUUAAUUCCGGGGCCCAGCCCCGGGCGUGCACUCAAAACUGGGUUUCUUGAAUAGGGGAGAGGUCGGUGGAAUUGGAGGUGUAGCGGUGGAAUGCGUAGAGAUCUCCAAGAACACCCGUUGCGAAGGCGGCCGACUGGACCCAUAUUGACGCUGAGGCUCGAAAGCAUGGGGAGCAAACAGG
rnacentral:rRNA from 1 species